CUCAUCCAUCGUCGAGCCCAUAGAGAGUUUCUGUUGGUGCUGAUAUUUAAUGAAGUCCGUGAGCUGUGCGUCAAGAAAAGCCGCUAUUGUUCAUACCAUACCCGUACCGUAAACCGACACAGGUGGAUGAGGAGAGAAUCCUAAGGCCGGCGGAAGAAGCAUUGUCAAGGAACUCGGCAAAAUGACCCCGUAACUUCGGGAGAAGGGGUGCCUGCGAGAGCAGGCCGCAGAGAAUAGGCUCAAGCAACUGUUUAGCAAAAACACAGGUCUAUGCGAAACCGAAAGGUGAGGUAUAUGGGCUGACGCCUGCCCGGUGCUGGAAGGUUAAGAGGAGAGGUUAGCGCAAGCGAAGCUUUGAAUUUAAGCCCCAGUAAACGGCGGCCGUAACAAUAACGGUCCUAAGGUAGCGAAAUUCCUUGUCGGGUAAGUUCCGACCCGCACGAAAGGCGUAAUGAUUUGAGCGCUGUCUCGACAAUGCAUCCGGUGAAAUUGAAGUACCAGUGAAGAUGCUGGUUACCUGCGCCAGGACGGAAAGACCCCAUGGAGCUUUACUCCAGUUUGGUACUGGGAUCCGGUACUGCAUGUACAGGAUAGGUGGGAGGCUAUGAAUCGGUAACGCCAGUUGCCGAGGAGCCGCUGUUGGGAUACCACCCUUGCAGUAUUGGGUUUCUAACCAGCCGCCGUGACCCGGCGGUGGGACAAUGCCAGACGGGGAGUUUGGCUGGGGCGGUCGCCUCCGAAAGGGUAUCGGAGGCGCCCAAAGGUUCCCUCAGGAUGGACGGAAACCAUCCAAAGAGUGCAAAGGCAGAAGGGAGCUUGACUGCGACACCGACGGGUGGAGCAGGUACGAAAGUAGGGCUUAGUGAUCCGGUGGUAUUAAGUGGGAAUGCCAUCGCUCAACGGAUAAAAGCUACCCUGGGAUAACAGGCUUAUCACUCCCAAGAGUUCACAUCGACGGAGUGGUUUGGCACCUCGAUGUCGGCUCAUCGCAUCCUGGGGCUGUAGUAGGUCCCAAGGGUUGGGCUGUUCGCCCAUUAAAGCGGUACGCGAGCUGGGUUCAGAACGUCGUGAGACAGUUCGGUCCCUAUCCGGCGUGGGCGUAGGAUAUCUGAGAGGAGCUGUCCUUAGUACGAGAGGACCGGGAUGGACGGGCCGCUGGUGCACCGGUUAGACUGCCAAGUCUAUAGCCGGGUAGCCAAGCCCGGAAGGGAUAAACGCUGAAGGCAUCUAAGCGUGAAGCCCCCCUCAAGAUGAGAUAUCCCAUCCGAAAGGAGUAAACCCCCUUGAAGACGACGAGGUCGAUAGGGCAGGGGUGGAAGUGUGGUAACACAUGGAGCUGACUGCUACUAAUAGGGUGAGGGCUUGACCU
rnacentral:rRNA from 1 species